UGUCCCUACUUGUAAAAUAGGGAUGAAAGUACUGUUCACAUGGACAACGUUAUGAGAUGAAACUGGUCUGAAAGGACUUUGCUCUUACACCUCUUUGUGACUCAUUCAACAAACAUGACUCUCUUCCAAGUGCAAGGCCCUGUAUCUAGUGCUACAGAAGAAACAGCAGGAGACGGUGGCAGAACAAUGAGAGCUACCAUUUCUAUGAGCGUGUGACGUGCCUGUUUCUUUCAGAAGUUAUGUUUAAGUCUCACGAAACUCUUCAACAUAGAUAAUUAUAAUGUUCACUUUCCUUCCAAGUACGAAAACUGAAGAUCAGAAAAGUUCAGUAAUAUUCCAAAGUCAAACAGCCUAUAUGUGGCAGAACCGGUACUUAAACCAAUGUUUUGAUGGCGCCAUACCCAUGCUAUUUUGACUAAGCCACCUUCGAGUUGUGAUCCCUGCUAUCCAUUAUAAGAAGACAGAACACAGAGAUUGGUGAAAUGUUCCUCACUCUUAAAAACAUCAAAGACACAGAAACAAACAGCAUAGUGAAAAAAAAAAUCCUGUUUGGAAAUGAGGACGAGUUCUUCUUUCAGAGGGCUACUCCUUGAUUUAAUUGGAGUUCUUGUGGGCCCAUCCCAGCAGACGUCCAAAGAGAGAAGUAGAGAGAGAGAGAGAGCUCAGGGUGCUGGAGUGUCCUCACUCAGUGGGCCUUAAUGCCAUCUACCCACAUUGGUGACCUUACCAUCUUCCCCUGUGGGUACUGCCGGAAAAUGGUCUAGGGCUUCCCUGGUGGCUCAGUGGUUAAGAAUCCGCCUGCCAAUGCAGGGGACACGGGUUCGAGCCCUGGUCCGGGAAGAUCUCACAUGCCGCGGAGCAACUAAGCCCGUGUGCCACAACUACUGAGCCUGCGUGCCUACAGCCCAAGCUCCACAAGAGAAGCCACUGCCAUGAGAAGCCUGCACACCGCAAUGAAGAGUAGCCCCCGCUCCCUGCAACUAGAGAAAGCCCACGCGCAGCCAUGAAGACCCAACGCAGCCAAAAAUAAAUAAACAAUAAAUAAAUCAAUUUAAAAACAAACAAACAAACAAACAAAAACAGGUCUAAGAGGUUUCACACGUAGCCAGCUCCUCCUUGCACUCUCUCCUGGGUCUCUACCCUGCUGGUCUUCUCUGCCUAAACUACUAUAUACAAAAUAGAUAACUAAUAAUAACCUGCUGUAUAGCACAAGGAACUCUGCUCAAUACUCUGUAAUGGCCUACACGGGAAAAGAAUCUUUAAAAAAAAAAAAAAGAGUGGAUGUAUGUAUAUGUAUAACUGAUUCACUUUGCUGCACAAGUGAAACUAACACAACAUUGUAAAUCAACUGUACUUCAAUAAAAAUUAAAAGAAAAAUAAAUGAAAUACUUAAAGUUAAAAAAAAAAAAAAAGCUUCCUAAUGAAAAGGAACCCUCCAACCCCAAAUGCACAUUUGUGCAAAAUCACCAUCCCUGGGAGAAAUGAAAGUAAGAGACGACAAAAGCAUUGCUCAUCUCUUUAUCUCUUUUGACAAGAUAGCCAUCAUCUUUGCUUCAUCCCACCAUAUUUUACGCUGUCUUGACCCUGGAAGUGGGGCAGAAAAAGGAAAAUGAGAGAUUGCUUUACUCUUUCCAAUAUUUUUAGUAUUUCCUCUUUAUUUAUCCUUCCAUUGAGCUGUAUGAUGUUUUCUACACCUGAGGUGGGAUAUGGGAGAGAAAUGGAGGCUGACACCAUACAUAGUAGAAUGGGGAUCAUCUCUGGCAUUUAUCCAGUCAUUUAAUGCCUAUUAACAUAGUCCAAGAUUGCAUUGGUUUCUUCGUCCUCCAUGAGACAGUGCAGGUUCUUACUGAGCUUGUGCUCGUGAAAUAUCCCCCUUUCUAUGCUUGUGCAAUUACCAUUUGAAGCACACAUUCAGGAUUCAAAUUUAUCUUUUUACUCAAUGUAGCUUGCUAGUAAUUAAAGCAUUUAAAGUCUUGUAUUUGACUCUGUCAACAAUUUGGAUGUAAUUAGUAAACAAAGUUUAAAUUUAUUAUUUGACACAAGUUGUUGAGAAGUGUUUAUGUAAAAAAAUCCUCUAGCUCAUUUUAUUCGAUUUGUUUAUUUUGUUAGUAAUGUCUAGUGUCAUUGCUUUGUGAUCAGAUUGUACACAGUAUAACUACUUUAUUGAAGAUAUGUUGUCUUUGUGAGUACAAUGCAAUUUUCAUAAGUUUUAAGUGGGUGCUUAAAAAAAAGAGGUACAGAUCUUCCUUGACUUACAUGGGGUUAUGCCCUGAUAAGUCCAUCAUAAAUUGAAAAUAUCAUAAGUUGAAAAUGUAUUUGAUACACUUACAGUAUAGAACAUCAUAGCUUAGCCCAGCCUACCUUAAACAUGCUCAGAACAAUUACGUUAGCCUACAGUUGAUCAGAAUCAUCUAACAGAAAGCUUAUUUUAUAAUAAAGUGUUAAAUAUAUCCUUUAAUUUAUUGAACACUGUACUAACAUGAAAAACAGAAUGUCUAUAUGGUUACAGAAUGGUUGUGAGUUUAUCAGUUGCUUACUCUCAUGAUCUCCUGGCUGACUAUACAGCAUAUCACCAGCCUGAGAAAAGAUCAAAAUUCAAAUUACAGUUUCUACUUAAUGCAUAUCACUUUCACACCAUCAUAAAGUUGAAAAAUUGUUAAAUUGAAUCACCAUAAAUUGGGGACCAUCUGGGCUUUAUUUUGGCCACAGAGUUUGAUAUAUGUCUACUUGCUAAUUUUUAUUAACAAGAUCAACCAGAUCGUUUUUAUCUUUUUUUUUUUUUAAUUGUUAUUGUCAUCACCUAUGAACUGUCAAAG